rnacentral:rRNA from 1 species
CCCUUAGAUGUUCUGGGCCGCACGCGCGCUACAAUGAUGAAUUCAACGAGUUUAUAACCUUGGUUGAAAAGCCUGGGUAAUCUUUUGAACUUUCGUCGUGAUGGGGCUAGACCCUUGCAAUUAUUGGUCUCCAACGAGGAAUUCCUAGUAAACGCAAGUCAUCAGCUUGCAUUGAUUACGUCCCUGCCCUUUGUACACACCGCCCGUCGCACCUACCGAUUGAAUGGUCCGGUGAAAUCUUCGGAUUGAGACUUUGAUUUCUUCACGGAAAACGCUGUUUUAAGAAGUCGAUUAAACCUUACCAUUUAGAGGAAGGUGAAGUCGUAACA